AAUCUCGAUUUUCUACUGGCUUCGAAGCGACUGGACACCAAACAGAGAUAGAGGAAAAACCAGUGCAAACGGAGGCGUUCACAUCAUCCCACUUGUAUAUACAUGAAAACGAACGCGUCAUCGAACUUCUCAUCGAUUCUUCGAAUGAUCACACGAUUUGUGAAAAAAAAAAAUUUGUUUUCUAUCAAAGAUUCAUUAUUAAUUGAUGUUAAUAAUGUUUAUUUAAAAACGAUCUUUCCACACAGAGUGCCAUUGACUUUCUAAUAGAGACAAAAGAACUGAAAGUGUUUCACGUCUCCAUUGGCGACAUUUAUAUGCCGUUCAUGACAAACCUUGACGAUCUCUUUCCCUAUGUACCAAGUGUACGAUGACCAUUUAACGUUUCAAGGUGGAAAUGUAAUGAAUUGUAACUGCCCUUCAAUCUCACUGGAUAAAUAUGGAUGCGGAUGAUGCCAUGGAAAAUGAGCAAAUUCUGUAGUAUCGUCGUAAAUCAUCCUGUUUAUUGUUAUUUAUCGCCCAUAUGUAACCCGCAUAUAUGUAAUUCCGUUUUUUUUUUAUUCUUGUAGAAAUUUCAGGAUAAAUAAAUUGCGAUUAUUGCAACAUGCGCGUGAAAGAUUUAAAAUGAAGAACGGAUAAUUAUGAUCGAACAGAAUUUUUAUAUAUAUAUUCUUUUUUUAUUAAUUAUAACAUUGUUCUUUUUCUUUUCUUUAUAAUUCAAUGUCAUUUUCCGUGACGUUCAUUCAUAAUUUUUACAUAUAAAAAAAUUCGAAGAUGAUAAUUGGUAAAAAUACGGUACAUUGUUUAACAUUGUUGCACGUAAAAUAUUGUCAAAGUAUACGUCGUUCAAGUAAAGAAUAGAUUACAGCUGAUCAGAUCGUAUACGUCCUUCGUGCGUAAUUUCACGUUAGUUUAUUCAAGCAUGGCAAGAUUAACAUAUAUUUUACAAUUUAAACGACUCGACGGAAUUUCUAAUUCUUCAUAAAGAAGUCUACGUGAUACUCCAUAUUGUGUUACUGUUAGUAAUCUUUUUAACGUUCUUAAUUUUUUUCACAUUGUGUCCCAAUCAAUUUAUACGAAUAAUUCUGUUACAUAUGAUUAACGACAAAAAUAUUUAAAAAUCUUUUUUCGAUAAAUUUUUACAUUUUAAUCUUUAUAAAUUCAUAAAAGAUUUUUACGAUACGAUUUAAAUAUUUUUCUCUUAUUAAUUAUCAUGAUCCAUAGGGGAUCGACUCAAAUGAAUUAAAGUACAUCAAUUGUAAUCUAACCGAAAUGAGAUGGAACCAAACAAAUGCAACAAAGGCAAUAAAUAAAUAAAGAAUAAUAAACCUAAUCGUAUCUACCUUGAAACGCAGUUCAAUUGUGCGUUCAAUUGUAACCAACAACUUAAACGCUUCCAUCUGAUCUCUAUUCUUCUUAAUUCAACUUACAAUUGAAUCCGACCAGGUCUCCAACGAAUGUGACACAAUUUUACAGUAGCGUCUAAACGAAAAGCAUAAUUAUAUUCAUUUGUCAAUAUUUUAAAUUAACAAACAAGAAAUAAAUGAAUCUAGAUCAAAUUCCGUAUAUAUUGCAAUGACGAUCAUGAUUCAUUCAUUCAGAUGAUUUUCAUUUAUAAUAAGAAAUUUAAAAUUAAACAUCGAAUUAUAGAUUUCAAAAUUUACAAAGAAUUGAAUCGAAGGAUUUCAGAAUUUAUAGAAACGAUAUUCCCAAAAAUAUAUUCGAUAAAAUAUAUUUUGUAUUUCAAAAGAAAUUGAACUCACGAUUAAAUUGCGCGUUCCCUUCCUCAAUGUACUCGAAACAAAGUAUCAUGUAUGAAACAGGUGUUCAGCCGGUUUUCAUUUUCCUUUCACGAAUCGCCUACGCCAUUUUUUAAAUGCCCAUUAAUUAUAUGUGACUAGUUAAUUUCGCGACCACGAUUAAGUAAAAAAAUCGCGAAUCGACACGUGUCAAAUGGCAAUAUAGCACAUCGUCAAACGACCACAGACUGUUCUGUUGCUGCAGCAACUAUCUUCCAAGGUAAACGUAUGCCACAGACUUUCUGCCUCUGUCCCCGUUGACCAUCGAAGGGGCAGUGGGAGAAGUGAAACAGAACGGAGAGGGGAAGGUUCGGUCCUUCUUAAGUUCUGGUCUUUCCGAUCAGCAAGCCACACUAGUUCUACCAUGUCAGAUCGUGCCAUGCAGCUUUCACGUGAAAUACCGUCGUCCGCCAUGAAAUAACCACAGUCCACUUCGAAAACUUAUGGCAUGCAGGCUUUAUGUAUACAAAUAACCAGGUGAUAAAGAUGUUUGAAAAAUGAUAAAAUAUCGUUGAUGGAAUAGAAAUAUAUUUCGAGUAACUUAUUCGAUGGUUUUGUUAAUUUUGUUUAUUUCGAUUUCAUGCUCGAUGUUAGAAUAGGGAAUAAAAGAAGUGAUAAAUGGACAGAUUGUUACGCAAUGAUCUAUCUAUUUAGAGAAAAAAAUUGGAAAUUCAUUAUGAAUUAUCAUAAUCAUAGUUUGUGAUUAAUGAAGCAAUGUUUAGAAACAUUCAAUGCAGAAAGUGCUUAUGUUACGUAAAAUAUCCGGAAUACGUGCUUCACGGUUUACUAGGUAUCGGUUAAUUACUAAAAUUCCGGGUUUUAACAGUUGUACCUUUUCAAACUAUCUAAUUACUGAUCGUAUCUGGCAAUUACAUAAUCUUUGAAGAACAUUAUGUCGGUCCUUGAGCUUAUAGCCGCUAUUAAAUGAUCGUUUAACCGCCAUUUUCGCAAAAUUUAUAAUUUUGAAAAAUUAUCUAGUUUUGUUCUUCUUGAUAUAAUUCUUUCAAUUACUCGAAUCGUUUUUUAAAAUUAAAAAAAUGACAUUGAAAAAUUAUUAUCUUUCUUGUCUCUUACUCAUUAUUUGUUUAAAUAUUCAAAAUAUUAUUAAAAAAUUGAGAAAAAUUAUAAAUAUAAUUAAAUUAAUGAAAUAUAAAUUAUAUAAAUAAAAAUUAAUCAUCUCCUUAAAAUAAACAUAACUUAUUAUUUGCCACGAAGUGACAAAUCUCAGAAUUAUCAAAUAUAACUUCAAAUAUUUUGUUAACCAUUCGCCUAUGGUUAAAAAGACUGGGAUGUUAUUCAUUAUCGUCUUGCUAAUAUAAAACACGUCAAACCAAAUAAUCACAAUUGCAAACUAUAAUUUUGAAAUGUUCUAAAUAUUCAGUAUUCUCCAAUCUUCCUCGAAUCGCUAUCUUUUACAUCCUUUUAUAAUAUCUAAAUAAUACAAUCUCUUCCUCGAAUUAUGCAAAAAGUCAUUUUUGAUAAAUUAAAACAAACAUAAUAUUUUAUUUCUAGAUUUUGAUCUAAGAUUCUGCAAAAACUUAAAAGAAAAAAAUACUAAAAUGUUAAAAUCUUGAAAAUAUCAAAGAAAUGUUUAAUAUGUAAUAAACAUACGAUACAAAUGAGUGGAAUAAAUAUUCAAUUCUUUGCCUCAAAAUAUUCAUUAUAAAAUUUUAUACAAAAAUAAUUAUAAUUGAUUAAUAAAAAGUUACUAAAAAGUUACAAUUAUCAAAUCACAAAUCAUUUUAAAAAUGCUGUUAAAAACCGAAAUACUGAAACAUCGCUUUCUAAAUAAAACACCUCGUGACAAAAAUGGCAACUUCAAAAAACGAUCUCUAAAAAUAUCGCUACACAAAGGAAGAAAAUCGUCGGGUCAAACGUCCCGCUACUAUUCUGCGGCGUGGCGCGCAGCGAUUAUAUUUUGAAAAGUGGCGGGUUUUCCUUCGUCUUCGAAUAUAAUUGUUCACGUGGGCAGAAAAAAAUCGUGCAUGCACAAUUUCCCGCGGUUGACACACAUCGAUAGAUAACACGGCCGAUAAGACGAAACGUGCACGGCUCACACUCAUACUUACUCAUGUGUGUGUAUUUUUGUCUUAUUCAGUUCAUCGAAAACAACCGGAGAAAAAUCAAAUAAAACUGGUUUACGCCGGCUUAGACCGGAUGCGACAGCUUAGUUGCAACUAACGUACGACGGUUUAUUGUUACAUCGACCGUUAUGUGCAACUGGUCUAUGGAAAAAAAUCGGUUUUUACCCAGGAUUCGAUCGGACAAAAUUGAAAGCCGAUAUCAGCAGUCCAUUUUCGUUGAUCUCUGGCGAUCUGUCUGGUCCGAUUUCCCGUUUCAUCCGUUAUGUUCCGGCGAAUCGAUGGAAAAAAUAAAAUAAUGACGAAUUUAAAUGAAAUUGGUUUUUACGAUAAAAUUUUGUUUUAAUAGAUUAUGAGAAUAAAAAAUGGAUGGAAGAAAUUGGAAUUAAAUAUAUAAAAUAAAAAAAACUUGUUUAUUGAUGAAUUAUUAGUCAAAAAAUAAUGAACAGGAAUAACGGAAGACUGCUAUUAUUAUUGCUGUGAUUAUGAGAAAUGAAUAUAUAAGAAGUGGAAUUUAUAAUAAAUUUCAAUUUUAAUUUUUGGAUUUCAGUUUUUUUGAUAAAUUUUGUUAUAAUAAUUUUUUCUCUCUUUUUAUGUGCUAGUACAUUUCAAUUGGAUAUGUGUAAGCUAUCAUUCCGAUUGUAUCAUCGAUAUCGAUAAAUACACAAUUGCGUUCGUACACUUUUUAACUAUAACGUUUGAAAUUGAUCCAUAGACCCCGUAACUGAAGGAAUCUUGUACUGUAUCGUAUUAAAUAUUUUGUAAUAAAAGUAAGUUAAAAAUUAUGAUUGCCUUACAUGAAAAGAUGAGGAUAUUCUUAUUAUUUUUAACAAUAUGAUAGUUAAGAAAUGUAAAAAAAAUAAGUACGGAUUAUAAUUUUUUUCGUAAAUAAUUGUAAUUUUUUGUAAUAUUGUAUUUUAAUAUAAUAAAAAAACAUAAUCACGUUAUUUAGUGAUAAUUGUUUGAAUAUGAA